GUAGGUGGCAAGCGUUGUCCGGAAUUAUUGGGCGUAAAGCGCGCGCAGGCGGUUCUUUAAGUCUGAUGUGAAAGCCCACGGCUCAACCGUGGAGGGUCAUUGGAAACUGGAGAACUUGAGUACAGAAGAGGAAAGCGGAAUUCCACGUGUAGCGGUGAAAUGCGUAGAGAUGUGGAGGAACACCAGUGGCGAAGGCGGCUUUCUGGUCUGUAACUGACGCUGAGGCGCGAAAGCGUGGGGGAGCAAACAGGAUUAGAUACCCUGGUAGUCCACGCCGUAAACGAUGAGUGCUAAGUGUUAGGAGGUUUCCGCCCCCCCCUUAGUGCUGCAGCUAACGCAUUAAGCACUCCGCCUGGGGAGUACGGCCGCAAGGCUG
rnacentral:rRNA from 1 species